GGCUAAUUUUCUUCAAGCUGCUGUUGACUACAAGAAGAAGAUUGGAUUCAACAGAACACUAUUGAUAGAGCCUAAACCACAGGAACCAACAAAACACCAGUAUGACUGGGAUGUUGCGACUACGUUUGCUUUUCUACAGAAGUACGGUCCUACAGGUAA